rnacentral:rRNA from 1 species
GAUGAACGCUGGCGGCGUGCUUAACACAUGCAAGUCGAACGGUGAAAGAGAGCUUGCUCUCUGGAUCAGUGGCGAACGGGUGAGUAACACGUGAGCAAUCUGCCCCUGACUCUGGGAUAAGCGCUGGAAACGGCGUCUAAUACCGGAUACGAGCUGCGAAGGCAUCUUCAGCAGCUGGAAAGAACUUCGGUCAGGGAUGAGCUCGCGGCCUAUCAGCUAGUUGGUGAGGUAAUGGCUCACCAAGGCGUCGACGGGUAGCCGGCCUGAGAGGGUGACCGGCCACACUGGGACUGAGACACGGCCCAGACUCCUACGGGAGGCAGCAGUGGGGAAUAUUGCACAAUGGGCGCAAGCCUGAUGCAGCAACGCCGCGUGAGGGACGACGGCCUUCGGGUUGUAAACCUCUUUUAGCAGGGAAGAAGUGAAAGUGACGGUACCUGCAGAAAAAGCACCGGCUAACUACGUGCCAGCAGCCGCGGUAACAC